rnacentral:tRNA from 1 species
GGGUCGUUAGCUCAGUUGGUAGAGCAGUUGGCUUUUAACCAAUUGGUCGUAGGUUCGAAUCCUAC